UGGGCGUAAGCGUGCGUAGGCGGCUUUUUAAGUCGGAUGUGAAAUCCCUGAGCUUAACUUAGGAAUUGCAUUCGAUACUGGGAAGCUAGAGUAUGGGAGAGGAUGGUAGAAUUCCAGGUGUAGCGGUGAAAUGCGUAGAGAUCUGGAGGAAUACCGAUGGCGAAGGCAGCCAUCUGGCCUAAUACUGACGCUGAGGUACGAAAGCAUGGGGAGCAAACAGGAUUAGAUACCCUGGUAGUCCAUGCCGUAAACGAUGUCUACUAGCCGUUGGGGCCUUUGAGGCUUUAGUGGCGCAGCUAACGCGAUAAGUAGACCGCCUGGGGAGUACGGUCGCAAGACUAAAACUCAAAUGAAUUGACGGGGGCCCGCACAAGCGGUGGAGCAUGUGGUUUAAUUCGAUGCAACGCGAAGAACCUUACCUGGUCUUGACAUAGUAAGAACUUUCCAGAGAUGGAUUGGUGCCUUCGGGAACUUACAUACAGGUGCUGCAUGGCUGUCGUCAGCUCGUGUCGUGAGAUGUUGGGUUAAGUCCCGCAACGAGCGCAACCCUUUUCCUUAUUUGCCAGCGGGUUAAGCCGGGAACUUUAAGGAUACUGCCAGUGACAAACUGGAGGAAGGCGGGGACGACGUCAAGUCAUCAUGGCCCUUACGACCAGGGCUACACACGUGCUACAAUGGUCGGUACAAAGGGUUGCUACCUAGCGAUAGGAUGCUAAUCUCAAAAAGCCGAUCGUAGUCCGGAUUGGAGUCUGCAACUCGACUCCAUGAAGUCGGAAUCGCU
rnacentral:rRNA from 1 species